rnacentral:rRNA from 1 species
GUGUCAGCAGCCGCGGUAACACGAACCGUACGAACGUUAUUCGGAAUCACUGGGCUUAAAGGGUGCGUAGGCGGCUUGGUAAGUUGGGUGUGAAAUCCCUCGGCUUAACCGAGGAAUUGCGCUCAAAACUGCCAGGCUAGAGGAAGUCAGAGGUGAGUGGAACUUAGGGUGGAGCGGUGAAAUGCGUUGAUAUCCUAAGGAACACCAGUGGCGAAAGCGACUCACUGGGGCUUUUCUGACGCUGAGGCACGAAAGCUAGGGGAGCGAACGGGAUUAGAUACCCCGGUAGUCCUAGCCGUAAACGAUGAGCACUGGAUCGGAGACCACUCCAUAGGUUUCUGGUCGUAGCGAAAGUGUUAAGUGCUCCGCCUGGGGAGUAUGGUCGCAAGGCUGAA